rnacentral:rRNA from 1 species
GCUUACGCCACACCUCCCUGAGCAACGCCCGAUCUCGUCUGAGCUCGGAAGCUAAGCAGGGUCGGCCCGGUUAGUACUUGAUGGGAGACCGCCUGGGAAUACCAGGUGCUGUAAGCC